rnacentral:rRNA from 1 species
UACUAGAGUAGCACUCGCAUAUCAAUAAGCGGAGGAAAAGAAACUAACAAGGAUUCCCCUAGUAACGGCGAGUGAAGCGGGAAGAGCUCAAAUUUGAAAUCUUAAAGGGUUUCCCUUUACGAAUUGUAGUUUAAAGAAGUGUUUUCUGUUGAGGUUUUGGUAAAAGUUCUUUGGAAUAGGACAUCAUAGAGGGUGAGAAUCCCGUAUUUGACCUUUACUUUCAACUUUGUGAUACACUUUCAAAGAGUCGGAUUGUUUGGGAAUGCAGUCCAAAAUGGGUGGUAAAUUUCAUCUAAAGCUAAAUAUUGGCGAGAGACCGAUAGCGAACAAGUACCGUGAGGGAAAGAUGAAAAGAACUUUGAAAAGAGAGUUAAACAGUACGUGAAAUUGUCAAAAGGGAAGCGUUUGACACCAGUGUUGUUUUUCUGAAAAUCAAUUAAAGAACUGUUUAUGCUAAGUUGUUAGACUUUAUCAGCUAACUGUUUAGUUUUGAGCUUUUCUUUAAUGCACUUUUCAGUUAACAAGUCAACAUCAAUUUCUUUUGCUGUAAAAAAGCUUGAGGAAGGUGGCUUGAGAUUCGUCUUAAGUGUUUAUAGCCUCUUGCCUAUGCAGUCGGAGAGAUUGAGGUCUGCAGCGUAGAUCCUUCGGGGCUAAAUGCAUUUGUGCUAAGUUAUAGCAUUUUAUAGACAACUUGUUGACUAUGAUUUGUCUUGUAGCUUACUCGCUUAUGUUAUUUUACCUACGCUUAGGAUGUUGAUCUCUCACAGUCGAGC